rnacentral:rRNA from 1 species
GAUGAACGCUAGCGGCAGGCCUAAUACAUGCAAGUCGAACGGGAUCAGGGAGCUUGCUCCCUGUGAGAGUGGCGCACGGGUGCGUAACACGUAUGCAACCUACCUUCAACUGGGGGAUAGCCUUCCGAAAGGAAGAUUAAUACCGCAUAACAUAAUUGAAUGGCAUCAUUUGAUUAUCAAACGUCAGGGUUGAAGAUGGGCAUGCGUCCGAUUAGCUAGUUGGUGUGGUAACGGCACACCAAGGCGACGAUCGGUAGGGGAACUGAGAGGACGACCCCCCACGCUGGUACUGAGACACGGACCAGACUCCUACGGGAGGCAGCAGUAAGGAGUAUUGGUCAAUGGACGCAAGUCUGAACCAGCCAUGCCGCGUGCAGGAAGACGGUCCUCUGGAUUGUAAACUGCUUUUGUUAGGGAAGAAACCCUCGGAUGCGUCCGGGGCUGACGGUACCUAAAGAAUAAGGAUCGGCUAACUCCGUGCCAGCCGCCGCGGUAACAC